rnacentral:rRNA from 1 species
AUUGAACGCUGGCGGCAUGCUUUACACAUGCAAGUCGAACGGGGUGAAGGGGCAACUCUUCAUUCAGUGGCGAACGGGUGAGUAAUGCAUCGGAACGUGUCCCGUAGUGGGGGAUAACCCAGCGAAGGCUGGGCUAAUACCGCAUAUGCUCUACGGAGGAAAGUGGGGGACCGGCAACGGCCUCACGCUAUGGGAGCGGCCGAUGUCCGAUUAGCUUGUUGGUGGGGUAANGGCCUACCAAGGCGACGAUCGGUAGCUGGUCUGAGAGGAUGAUCAGCCACACUGGGACUGAGACACGGCCCAGACUCCUACGGAGGCAGCAGUGGGGAAUUUUGGACAAUGGGCNCAAGCCUGAUCCAGCAAUGCCGCGUGAGUGAAGAAGGCCU